rnacentral:lncRNA from 1 species
CAAGAGCCCACGCUCUUUCAAUCUUUUCUCUCCGUCUCAUUCAUUCAGUUUUAUUUCCCUGUCAACUUCAGAACCGAUCAAUCACAUUGAUCAGUCAGUCACAAUGAAGGCCAAUAUCACCCUGGCUCUGAGCAUGCUCUCUCUGGUCCUCUUGAUCUUCAUCCAUGAAGCCACGCCUGACUCUAAUGGAACUUUGAACGAUGACACACAAACUGAAAAGACGAGCGCGAGAGAUGGACUUUUAAAUGAUACCGGGAACUCCCCUGACCAAUCCACACCUGAGAAGCAUGACAGAGGAAUGCAUGGUAAUCAUUCUGGCAUGACAAUAGCCCCCCCGAAUGGUACACCCACAUCCACAGAGAGUCAGACAUCUGCAACAUCAGGAAGCACAACCCAGCAGACUGAAAAGACCACAUCCCCCCCACUCACUAAACAGACAAUCCCUACGUCUCUUCCCAAGACCUCCCCACCACCUCAACCCCUCCAUCCAGUACUAAACCCCAACCUGUUCCGUUAAAGAAGGGGUUCAUUGUGGUCCUGGUUGUGGUCAUUAUUCUUCUCGCACUGAUUACCGUGCUGUGCUUCUACAAGUGGAACACCCGCCACUCAGGCCAGGACAGCUCCGCCCCUCGGCUGUUAUUGGGCGUCAGGGAGCGCAUGAGGGGCAGGGUUAGAAGCCUGGAGGAUUGGCUGGGGCUCAGCCUCUGGCCCGGGAAGAGCGAGUGAGAGGGGGACAGGAUGAAGGAGAUUCCUCAGACUACUCCAGUUUAGACGGGAUUGACCUCAGCAAGAGAGCCAAGAACCUAGAGGAUGAUGAGAAAAAGGAGGAGGCUGUGAAGGGGAAGAGUGGGGGCGAGGGAGGCCAGGAUAACAUGAAAGGAGAGAGGACUGAUGGAAGGAAGGAGGGUGGUGAAGAGCGAACAGGGGAAAUCUCCGGUGAGGGAGAUACUUGUGACCUCACAGCACUGUAAGGAAACAGGGAGGAAGGGGUUAAGAGUGGGAUAAAAUAAGAUAAUUGUUUAAUUGUGACACAAUUCACUCUUCCUAUGGAGUAUAUUUUUUCAUUUAAGCGUGUCAAUGUCAGCCAAAUAUAUAGUUUUUGGUAAUCUCUGUUACAUGUGUUUUAAUAA